UACGUAGGGGGCAAGCGUUGUUCGGGAUUACUGGGCGUAAAGGGCACGUAGGCGGACUGUUAAGUCGGAGGUGAAAUCCUGAGGCUCAACCUCAGAAUUGCCUUCGAUACUGGCGGUCUCGAGUACGGGAGAGGUGAGUGGAAUUCCCAGUGUAGAGGUGAAAUUCGUAGAUAUUGGGAAGAACACCAGUGGCGAAGGCGGCUCACUGGCCCGUAACUGACACUGAGGCGCGAAAGCGUGGGGAGCAAACAGG
rnacentral:misc_RNA from 1 species